GAGGAUAAAAUUUUUUUU
rnacentral:snRNA from 1 species